rnacentral:lncRNA from 1 species
CAGGGUCUCACGGUGUUGCCCAGGCUGGUCUUGGACUUCUGGCCUAAAGCGAUCCUCCCACCUCGACUUUCCAAAGUGCUAGGGUUACAGGUGUGAGCCACGUGCCCAGCCUCACCUGUAAUGAAGACAAUUUCUUCUUGGGUCUGUUACGAAGAUUAAUAAGACAAGGACUCAGCAGCACUUAGCGCAGUGCUUGGCUUACAGAGAGUGCUUGAUAAACGGGAGCAAAUAGUGAUAGGAUCAUUGCUUCCUGUUUUGAGUCUUUCAUUCUGCUGAAAGGCCUCGGGGAGCCAUGAAGAUGACGACAUGAUCGCAGCUCAGCAGGAAGCUCGGUGCUGCCGGAAUGUGGGGAGGCCAUCCGUCUCAUUCAGCGGCCCGGCAGGCCUUAUUAUGAUGAUGAAUUUUCAAGUUAUCAGCACAAAUGCAAUCACCAUCAUAGGCCAAGAGAAACACUGUGGACCUCACAAAACUCUUUUGCACUCAACGUCUG